AACCAUAGAAACCUGCGGAGUACCUGCGGAAGGAUCAUUAUCAAACAAAACAUACCGCCCCGGUAACGUGAGUCAGAUCACGCGAUCCGACGGUGGUUGUCCACCUUUCCGUGAAUCGUGCAAAAACAAACACUAUUUAACCGAUCCCACGUGUGUCGUCGGCCUGGUCUCGGUGUGCUGCGUUUGCGGCACAUGGUCGGGAUGUGCGUGGCUAAAUAAACUGAAACUUAUUUAAUUUGU
rnacentral:misc_RNA from 1 species